GCCGGUGUAGUCUAGUGGUAUUAGGAUACUCUGAGCUAUUUGGAGAGGCCCAUGGUUCGAAUCCUGGCGCCGGCC